CCUACGGGAGGCAGCAGUGGGGAAUACUGGGCAAGGCACCAAAGCGGGAUCCAGCCAUGCCGCGUGUGUGAAGAAGGUCUUCUGAUUGGAAAGCGCUUUAAGUUUGGAGGAAG
rnacentral:rRNA from 1 species